AGGACGAACGCUGGCGGCGUGCUUAACACAUGCAAGUCGAGCGGUGAUCCUCCUUCGGGAGGUGAGCAGCGGCGAACGGGUGAGUAACACGUGGGCAACCUGCCCCUCACACUGGGAUAACCUCGGGAAACCGGGGCUAAUACCGGAUAUGACCUCGAGCGGCAUCUCUUGAGGUGGAAAGCUCCGACGGUGAGGGAUGGGCCCGCGGCCUAUCAGCUUGUUGGUGGGGUAAUGGCCUACCAAGGCGACGACGGGUAGCCGGCCUGAGAGGGCGACCGGCCACACUGGGACUGAGACACGGCCCAGACUCCUACGGGAGGCAGCAGUGGGGAAUAUUGCGCAAUGGGCGAAAGCCUGACGCAGCGACGCCGCGUGAGGGAUGAAGGCCUUCGGGUUGUAAACCUCUUUCAGCAGGGACGAAGCGAAAGUGACGGUACCUGCAGAAGAAGCACCGGCUAGCUACGUGCCAGCAGCCGC
rnacentral:rRNA from 1 species